AAUAUUGGACAAUGUGGGCAACCCUGAUCCAGCCAUGCCGCGUGUGUGAAGAAGGUCUUCGGAUUGUAAAGCACUUUAAGUUGGGAGGAAGGGCCUUAGGUUAAUACCCUGAAGUUUUGACGUUACCAACAGAAUAAGCACCGGCAAACAUCGUCCCUGCAGCCGCGGUAAUACGGCGGGUGCAAGCGUUAAGCGGCAUUACUUGGCGUGAAGCGCGCGUAGGUGGUUCAGUAAGAUGGGUGUGAAAUCCCCGGGCUUAACCUGGGAACUGCUUUCAUAACUGCUGAGCUAGAGUACGGUAGAGGGUAGUGGAAUUUCCUGUGUAGCGGUGAAAUGCGUAGAUAUAGGAAGGAACACCAGUGGCGAAGGCGACUACCUGGACUGAUACUGACACUGAGGUGCGAAAGCGUGGGGAGCAAAC
rnacentral:rRNA from 1 species